UACGUAGGGCGCAAGCGUUGUCCGGAAUUAUUGGGCGUAAAGAGCUCGUAGGCGGCCAGUUGCGUCUGCUGUGAAAUCCCGGGGCUCAACCCCGGGCGUGCAGUGGAUACGGGCUGGCUAGAGGCAGGCAGGGGAGAACGGAAUUCCCGGUGUAGCGGUGAAAUGCGCAGAUAUCGGGAGGAACACCGGUGGCGAAGGCGGUUCUCUGGGCCUGUACUGACGCUGAGGAGCGAAAGCGUGGGGAGCGAGCAGG
rnacentral:rRNA from 1 species